rnacentral:rRNA from 1 species
UACGUAGGUGGCAAGCGUUGUCCGGAAUUACUGGGUGCAAAGGGCGUGUAGGCGGGGGAGCAAGUCAGAUGUGAAAGCCCAUGGCUUAACUGUGGAAUUGCAUCUGAAACUGUUCUUCUUGAGUGCUGGAGAGGAAAGUGGAAUUCCUAGUGUAGCGGUGAAAUGCGUAGAGAUUAGGAGGAACACCAGUGGCGAAGGCGGCUUCCUGGCCUGUAACUGACGCUGAGGCGCGAAAGCGUGGGGAGCAAACAGG